ACUGUCAAACGCCCGAAAAAUCAGCUGAUUUAAGACGUCACAUGAAAAGGCCUAUUCCCGGAACGUAAAAAAGAAAGAUUUGGAGUGAAAAAGUAAAAACGGUGCAUUCCGGAGUAUCGAUCAACAAAUCUCCGUCGUCCGCGGAUACACGGCUGUCGCUGGCGUUUCAAUUUGUAUCAGGAAAACAAUGUUUUGUGCGUCUGAUCGAGCCGGAAGUGUUUGAUGGAAACCAUCAGAGCUUGAAUGCUGGUACGCCGACCCAUGCGUGGUUAGACGAGACGGAGCAAACUUCCGAUGGCGGUCUGCUGAUGCAGAUUGUCCAGGUGUUGAGUAUUUUCGUGUUAAUUCCAGGAAGUGAUCUGCUCAAACAUCGGAGAAAAUCAACAACACAGCAGCAAGUUUCGUCUGGAAAUAACUCUCAUAGGCAUCCCCCUCCUGGCCACCUACAGCAUUGAACUAGUUUAAAAAACAUCCUUAUUUUACUGUUAUUAUUAUUUUUAUAACCAAUAAAAUCAACCUUAGGGGUGGGGGUGUUUUGUUGGGCUGUAUAAAAAAAUCCGAAAAUUCACGGGUAGGUUUUACUAUGUUAAAACUAUCAAAAAGCGGGUAAGUGAUUAAUGUAUCUAUUUUUAAAGUAUGAAGCUUCGAUGUGAUGCAGUAAUGUCUAUUUUUUAAUCAUACACUUUCGCCUACUAAUUUGUAAUAGUGCAUACGUAAUUUUGAUCACCUGGUUCACCAAGUUCUCUCAGUUGCGAGGUGACCCAUUGUUAUUAUUGUGACGCAUUGCAAGUCCACUAAUCAUAUUCUUCUUCCUAAAACUUUGAAACAGUUCGUAAGUGAUUCCAUCGUUUAACCACAUAAUCAAAUUUGGUUCACCAAGUUAUGAGGUGACUAGUAUUCACCAAGUUCUCUCAGUUGCGAGGUGACGCAUUACUAGAUUCUUCCUUCUAAAACUUUGAAACGGUUCAUAAGUGAUUCUUUCGUUUAAUUACAUAAUUAAAUCUGGUUCACCAAGUUCUCCCAAGUUACGAGGUGACUAGUAUUCACCAAGUUCUCUCAGUUGCGAGGUGACGCAUUACUAGGUUCUUCCUCCUAAAACAUUGAAACGGUUCUUUAGUAAUUCUUUCGUUUAAUUACAUAAUUAAAUUUGGUUCACCAAGUUCUCCCAAAUUACGAGGUGACUAGUAUUCACCAAGUUCUCUCAGUUGCGAGGUGACGCAUUGCUAGAUUCUUCCUUCUAAAACUUUGAAACGGUUCAUAAGUGAGUGAUUCUAUCAUUUAGUCACAUAAUCAAAUUUGGUUCACCAAGUUCUCCCAACUGACGAGGUGACUAGUAAUCACCAAGUUCUCUCAGUUGCGAGGUGACGCAUUACUAGAUUGUUCCUCCUAAAACUUUGAAACGGUUCAUAAGUGAUUCUAUCAUUUAAUCACAUGAUCAAAUUUGGUUCACCAAGUUCUCCCAAGUUACGAGGUGACUACCCAACAAACAUAUUUGUUGCACAAGAAUGGAAUAAAGCACUCUUAAGCAAACUUUAGCUUAAGAAACUGUUAUUCAGCUAGUUCUGUUACUUGGGUAGUAUUCACCAAGUUCUCUCAGUUGCGAGGUGACGCAUUACUAGACUGUUCCUCCUAAAACUUUGAAGCGGUUCAUAAGUGAUUCCAUCGUUUAAUUACAUAACUAAAUUUGAUUCACCAAGUUCUCCCAAGUUACGAGGUGACUAGUAUUCACCAAGUUCCC